rnacentral:rRNA from 1 species
GAUGAACGCUAGCUACAGGCUUAACACAUGCAAGUCGAGGGGCAGCAUGAAAGUUUGCUUGCAAACUUUUGAUGGCGACCGGCGCACGGGUGAGUAACACGUAUCCAACCUGCCGUCUACUCUUGGCCAGCCUUCUGAAAGGAAGAUUAAUCCAGGAUGGGAUCAUGAGUUCACAUGUCCGCAUGAUUAAAGGUAUUUUCCGGUAGACGAUGGGGAUGCGUUCCAUUAGAUAGUAGGCGGGGUAACGGCCCACCUAGUCAACGAUGGAUAGGGGUUCUGAGAGGAAGGUCCCCCACAUUGGAACUGAGACACGGUCCAA